AGAGGGCUGAAGAGAUGGCUCAGUGG
rnacentral:piRNA from 1 species